CCUCAGUUUAGACUAACCGUGUAAGUGAGGAAUCCUUUUGCGAGAAAUAUGUUAAGAAGUAGAUGAUGAAACUUAAGCCCAAAGCCAAAGACUUGCAUUUGCAAAGCACUCCGUUUUUAUUUUUAUUUUUUGAUGUUUAUUUAUUUUUGAGAGGCAGUGUAAACUGAGGAGGGGCAAAGAGAGGGGACGGAAAAUCUUAAGUGGGCUCCGUGCUGACAGCAGAGACCCCAUGCAGCUGGAACUCAUAACCGUGAGAUCAUGACCUAAAUUGGAGGCUUAUCAGGCUGACCCACCCAGGCGCCCUGCCACUCCCUGUUUUUAAACUUAAUCCUGUGAUCAAAAUACCAGACAUAAAUGUUCUUUUGGAGAUUUUUUUUUAACAAAUUAAGGAAUUUUUAUUUACAUAAAAGUUGUGUUUAAAUAAACACAAUACAUAAUUCUCCUGCUUAAAGUUUCAGGAGCUCUCAGCUCUUGGGCUAAGGACAAUAUACAUAGCUUACUAGGCCGUUCACGGUCUGGCCCACAAUCAGCUCUCCAGCCUUAUUUUGCACCAAAUUCCCUCUCACUUCAGCCGUACUGAACUUAACAGCUCUUAGGCUCACCAUUUUACCUUCUGCCACAGAGCCUUUGCACAAGCUGUUCUCUUACAGGAAUUCUCUCCAAACCCCUUCUCAACUUAACUUCAAUUCAUCAUUAAGACAUCUGUCCAAGUGUCCUCUAAGGGCACCCUUCCCUGACCUCCUUAACUACAUCAAACAUCUUCUCUGUGUGUUUCUUUGAUUAAUGCCUGCUCUUUGCACAAGACUGUGUCUCAGAAGAGCAGAGACUAUGAACUGCCCUUGUAUACCAACAAUAUCCCAAACACCUAGUAUCGAAUAAUGAAUCCAAGCAAAGGUGUCAGUGCAGAGAACUGGGCAAGAUAGGGGUUGUAAACAUUGUAAUUGGCCAUUUUAAGCCAUGGGUGAAAAUGAGUCACAAAAUAUCCUACCUAAAUAACAAAGAGUUGAGUAUGGAGCCCUGAGGCCCACUAACAUCUAAGGGGCAAGCCGAGAGGACAAAGCCAAAAAGUAGGGAGAAGGAAACCAAAAGAGGUAAGAGAAAACCUAGAACAAGUGGGUCACAGUGACAAGGGAAAUAAGAGUUUCAUUUAACUUUUUUAAAAAGCUUAUUUAUUUAUUUUGAGAGAGAGAAAGAGGGGGCGAGAGAGAGAAUCCCAAGACGACUCCACACAGGCAAUGCAAAGCCCAAUAUGGGGCUGGAACUCAGGAAUUAUGAGAUCAUGAUCUGAGCCCUCAAAUGACUGAGCCACCCAGAUGCUCCAGGGAGAUAAGGAGGAUCAGUCAACAGCAUCAGAGCUGGAGAAAUCUAGUAAGAAGGAUCAAUGUUCUUGAUGCAGGCUAUAACAUCAGUUACACAGCUGGGGGAACGAACCACUGUUGUCGGAACCUAGGCAGAGCUGCCUAUAGCAUCCAGCAAAACAAACAAACAAACAAACAAAAAACCCUGGAAACCAAAAGCACCAAGAGCCUUGGAGGAGCAAAUGGGGAAGAGAACUGUGAAAGCCGGUCUCCUCACUCCACCACAGGCUUCAGAAGAUUCCAUCAGAUGGUGUAGAUUAAAGAAAAGUUGGGGCGCCUAGGUGGCUCAGUCGGUUUGGUGUCCAACUUUGGCUCAGGUCAUGAUCUCUCUGUCCAUGAGUUCGAGCCCUGCAUUGGGCUCUAUGCUGACAGCUCAGAACCUGAA